rnacentral:rRNA from 1 species
GAAAUGCGAUACGUAAUGCGAAUUGCAGAACUUCGUGAAUCAUCAAAAUUUUGAACGCACAUUGCGCUACUGAGUAAUCUCAGUAGCAUGCUUAUCUGAGUGUCUCUAAACCCCACUCAGCCGUCGCUGCACUUAACUGUGCUAGCAACGCGCUGGACUGUGAUGGUGUUUGGCAACGAACUCCGUUCAAGUUCAUAGGUUUGUUGUUGACGCCCUUGCUGGCCGAACGCGAAUCGCAACUAGAUUUGGUAGGUGCACUUAUGUGUAUUUUGAAUCUGGCUUGUGAGUUGCCGAGGCUUACGAGAGCAUCUCCAGCGAAUUGGGCAACCAGCACUCUGCUGGCCUGCCCGGAAUGAAUGUACCUCAUCUAUGGAUCUCAGAUUAAGUAAGACUACCCGCUGAAUUUAAGCAUAUAAUUAAGCGGAGGAAAAGAAACUAACAAGGAUUCCCCU